rnacentral:lncRNA from 1 species
AUGGCCACCCACACCACCUCCACCCAUACCUCCACCCAACCACACCUCCACCCCUCACUACCUCCACCCCUCACUACCUCCACCCCUCACUACCUCCACCCCUCACUACCUCCACCCCUCACUACCUCCACCCCUCACUACCUCCACCCCUCACUACCUCCACCCAACCACUCCUCCACCCCUCACUACCUCCACCCCUCACUACCUCCACCCCUCACUACCUCCACCCCUCACUACCUCCACCCCUCACUACCUCCACCCCUCACUACCUCCACCCAACCACUCCUCCACCCCUCACUACCUCCACCCCUCACUACCUCCACCCCUCACUACCUCCACCCCUCCCUACCUCCACCCCUCACACUCACCACCUCCACCCAUACCUCCACCCAACCACACCUCCACCCCUCACUACCUCCACCCCUCACUACCUCCACCCCUCACUACCUCCACCCCUCACUACCUCCACCCCUCACACUCACCACCUGCACCCACACCUCCACCCCUCACACUCACCACCUCCAAGCAUACCUCCACCCCUCACACUCACCACCUCCAAGCAUACCUCCACCCAAGCAUACCUCCACCCAACCAUACCUCCACCCAACCAUACCUCCACCCAACCAUACCUCCAUCCCUCACUACCUCCACCCCUCACACUCACCACCUAAACCCAACCACACCUCCACCCCUCCCUACCUCCACCCCUCACACUCACCACCUCCAAGCAUACCUCCACCCAACCACACCUCCACCCCUCACACUCACCACCUCCACCCCUCACACUCACCACCUCCACCCAUACCUCCACCCCUCCCUACCUCCACCCCUCACACUCACCACCUCCACCCAUACCUCCACCCCUCACACUCACCACCUCCACCCAUACCUCCACCCCUCCCUACCUCCACCCCUCACACUCACCACCUCCACCCAUACCUCCACCCCUCACACUCACCACCUCCACCCAUACCUCCACCCAACCACACCUCCACCCCUCACAAACACUACCUCCGCCCAACCACACCUCCACCCCUCACACUCACCACCUCCACCCCUCACACUCACUACCUCCACCCAACCACACCUCCACCCCUCACCCUCACCACCUCCACCCACACAUUCACCCAACCAUACCUCCACCCCUCCCUACCUCCACCCCUCACACUCACUACCUCCACCCCUCACACUCACUACCUCCACCCAACCAUACCUCCACCCCUCCCUACCUCCACCCCUCACACUCACUACCUCCACCCAACCAUACCUCCACCCCUCCCUACCUCCACCCCUCACACUCACUACCUCCACCCCUCACACUCACUACCUCCACCCAACCAUACCUCCACCCCUCCCUACCUCCACCCCUCACACUCACUACCUCCACCCAACCAUACCUCCACCCCUCCCUACCUCCACCCCUCACACUCACUACCUCCACCCCUCACACUCACCACCUCCACCCAACCAUACCUCCACCCCUCCCUACCUCCACCCCUCACACUCACCACCUCCACCCAUACCUCCACCCAACCAUACCUCCCCCCCUCCCUACCUCCACACAACCCUACCACCACCAAUGAAUCAGUCUGGAUUAAACAUGUGUGGCUGCCAUCAGGGAGAAGUGUUUUAAUGAUGAAUCAUGAUCAUCAUCAUCAUCAUUAUUCAUCAUCAUUCCCCCAAGCAUUGAGGCAUAUUCUCUUGAAGUAA